rnacentral:tRNA from 1 species
GUCCCUGUGGCUCAGUUGGUAGAGCAUGGUGUUUGCAACGCCAGGUUUGUGGGUUUGAUUCCCACGGGGGGCC